rnacentral:lncRNA from 1 species
CUCGUCACUAUAAAGGUUCAUAAAAGAAUUAAGAAAAAGACCAACACCAGGAAGCAACAUGCUCCAGUCUGAUAAUAUUUGAAACUUGGCUAAGUUAACUAGCUCAAUUGGCAAUUUACCAAAAUUAGCUAACAACAAAUAUGAGCCAUCACACAUCUCAUGGAAUUACAGUGGGUAAGUUGUUGUAGCUAACUACAAUCAUCAUAAAGAUUUUCAAGACGAAGCAUUAAAAUAUCAAUAGGAGACGUACAUUAAUAAGAGACAAAAGGAUUUCUACUCACUUCCAACAAGAUACAGGUGCACUUAGUGAUUAGUGCUGGAAAAUUGAUAAAAAUUCACAUAUCCGGUCCAACCCACCCAAAUUUAUAAUAGGUUGGGGUCAUUGAUUCAUUUAAAUCAGACCAAAUAUGAAUCAUAUUCAAAUCACAGCAGUAAAAUAUGGAUAUCCAUGUGAAUCCCACUUCAAGCGUGAAGAAGGCAGCUGCAUGAAAAGGAGGAAACUAGAAGAACCGAUUUUCUGAGUUCAUUUCUUGGGAACUUCCCAACUUUGAAUUACCAAAAGAUAGAAAGUUCUAGAUCUUCCCAGACCUUCCUCUGAUUUUUCUUUUAAUUUGCUAGAUUCAAUGACAAGUUGGUCCAUUAAGAGCAAACUGACUGAGAAAGUUUGAACCAAAAUAAGAUUCUAUGGCACAAUCCCCUAGCAUUAGUUGAACCGAACCAAGAGUAUAUGCACAAUCCUUUAGCAAAUCUUUAAGGUGUUGAUGCCAAAAUAAACAAAUAUGAUCUACCUACACAUCGUACAUGUUAUGAUCUACAAAACAGUUAUGAAUAAAAAAGUGUUCCUCGUAGGGGAGCAUUUGCUUCUUUCCCACUAAUGUUUCUCACAAGUUGAGCUUUGAGAAAAGAGAAAAACCAAAAAUAGCAUCCCGAAACUAUGAUUAUAUCACACUUUAAAGACGAGGAGUUAACGAGAUUUGCUAUAUUAAAUAUGAAUUAGAUGGGAAAAAAUGAUAGAAUUGUGAAAAGAGAAGUGCUAAAUUUGAAAGGUAAAUGAAUGAGGUUAUCUGUCAUGAAAAAACAAAAGAUGAAGGAAGUUAUCAGAUACAGCAACUCAAAUAGGACAAUUAGUGAGUGGACUUAAUGCCAAUAUAUUGGAUUGUUAAACAUAUGGCAAUUUUUUGUGCCUCGCAAGUUACCACAUACAAGUGAUGUUUCUAUAGAAUUUAAGGCUUGAAUUCUCCCAAUAAUGAUAAUAUUGAAGAAGCCAAGGAUAUUAUUGAUGUUUUAUCCAUUUUGUCUAACCCGCUUUGAACUCGCACUUAUUUGAUUCAGCAGGACCCUUUUAUUAUAAUCAUGGUGUUCGGGCGCAGCUUUCACACACCUUGACUGAUUCCACUAGAUACCUACCACCUGCAGCGGGUACAGGCAACUCUAUCCACCAAGACUACGACAGAUGGAAAGAAAUCACCUAGUGUUAUUAGUCUCUACUAGGAUUUAAACUUGAUACCUCAUGGUUCUUAACCCAUUCAUUGACCACGGGACCACACCCUUGGGUGUGAUUUGACAGGACCAUUUGCCAGCACGAGGUGUGCUAGUGAUGAUAUCCCAAUAACCAAUGAGAGAAUACCUGCUUCAGGCUUCAAGUAAUAGGGGUCCUGUUAUCUCUAUGAUUGAGCUCGGAUAUUAAUAGAUCCACAAAAUUUAGGGAAUCCAAGUAAAUAUCAUUUCAGGAACACAAAAAAGACAAUAAGACACUUUUCAAAUAACCAACAGAAGUGAAUGCAGAAUAAAGUAGAUCACAUAAUGGCAAUACUACAAGUAUACAACAACAUUACCAGUGUAGUCCCACAAAGUACUCGAGGAAGGGUAGAGUAUAU